UGCAACUCAGGUUGAAACGAGUUUUGAAC
rnacentral:piRNA from 1 species